GGAAGAUAAGCUUGAUUCUGUCAGGGAAGGAAGCAAAUGGGAGUGUGGAUACUUCACAGAGAUCUUGACCUCAGAACUGCUGCAGAAAGGAAUGGCACAGUAAUGAGCCUGAAGGUGGAAUUCAAAUGGCCUCAGUUUUGAGAAGAGAAGGAAUGUUGGGGUAGGAGCCAGGUGACACAAGGAGUCUCAAACACAGAUCUCCAGAGGACCCCUGAACAUAAAAUUGUGCUGACCACCUAGAAGCAUGAGAUGGUCCAGACCUGAGUGGAAAUUAACUCAACAUCAAAAUUGUGAAAUCAGCUACUUGCUUUGAAGGAUUGAAAUUCAGAAUCUACAUAA
rnacentral:lncRNA from 1 species